AGAACUGCUUCCUUCCUCAUCUUCAUUGCUGGAUUCUUUACUGGAUUCACUGGCAGCAUCGUCUUCAUCCAGUUUGCGCUUAUGGCCCCUGGCAGGACACAGAGAUAAAGUCCGUGAAUCAAGAAUCAAGCUCAACCACCCUCACGGCACUAGCUGCUCAACUUGUGUGCUUCAUUCUUCCUCGCUACGUCUCUGAAGUAGCACUGCCGGUCUGAACAAGCCACAUGAAACAGGAAGCUGAUGUGCACCAUACUCUGCCGGAAGAAUCACAUUCCUGCUGGUUGUGAAAGAUCUCCAAGGAAAAUCUAACACUUCAACUGGGACAAAGCCACAGCAGAAGAAUUUGGAUUUGUGGAACUCUAAAAUCUCUUUUCUUUGCCAAAACAGAAUUUUAUAUCAGACAUAUACUUCUGAGGCAAAAAUAAAGUUGAGAUCUUGCACAGAA